rnacentral:rRNA from 1 species
GGAACCGCAUCUCCCUAUAUCAUUGGUGUUGGUGGUUAAAAAUUUCUCAGGUGAACCUUGGGCCUGGCUGGGCGGACCGCCUCCCCGCGUGUACUGGUCCGGCCGGGCCUUUCCCUCUGGGGAACCUCAUGCCCUUCACUGGGUGUGCUGGGGAAACAGGACUUUUACUUUGAAAAAAUUAGAGUGCUCCAGGCAGGCCUAUGCUCGAAUACAUUAGCAUGGAAUAAUAAAAUAGGACGUGCGGUUCUAUUUUGUUGGUUUCUAGGACCGCCGUAAUGAUUAAUAGGGACAGUCGGGGGCAUCAGUAUUCAAUUGUCAGAGGUGAAAUUCUUGGAUUUAUUGAAGACUAACUACUGCGAAAGCAUUUGCCAAGGAUGUUUUCAUUAAUCAGGAACGAAAGUUAGGGGAUCGAAAACGAUCAGAUACCGUUGUAGUCUUAACCAUAAACUAUGCCGAUAAGGGAUCGGAG